rnacentral:rRNA from 1 species
CCCUUAGAUGUUCUGGGCCGCACGCGCGCUACACUGACUGACUCAACGAGUGUACAACCUGCUUCGACAGAAGUGGGUAAUCUUUUGAAAUUCAGUCGUGAUGGGGCUAGAUUAUUGCAACUAUUAAUCUUCAACGAGGAAUUCCUAGUAAACGCAAGUCAUCAGCUUGCAUUGAUUACGUCCCUGCCCUUUGUACACACCGCCCGUCGCACCUACCGAUUGAAUGGUCCGGUGAAAUCUCGGGACGGCGGCUUGGUCGCUUGCGUCCGACUGCUGAAACUUGAUUAAACCAUAUCAUUUAGAGGAAGGUGAAGUCGUAACA